rnacentral:rRNA from 1 species
UACAGAGGCCUCAAGCGUUGUUCGGAUUCAUUGGGCGUAAAGGGUGCGUAGGUGGCGCCGUAAGUCAGGUGUGAAAUUUCGGAGCUUAACUCCGAAACUGCAUUUGAUACUGCGGUGCUUGAGGACUGGAGAGGAGACUGGAAUUUACGGUGUAGCAGUGAAAUGCGUAGAGAUCGUAAGGAAGACCAGUGGCGAAGGCGGGUCUCUGGAC